rnacentral:misc_RNA from 1 species
UGAAUUGCUCUUUGAGACGUUAAACUAUAUCCAUCUACACCUGUGAACUGUUGAUUGACUUCGGUCAAUUACUUUUACAAACAUUGUGUAAUGAACGUCAUGUUAUUAUAACAAAAAUAACUUUCAACAACGGAUCUCUUGGCUCUCGCAUCGAUGAAGAACGCAGCGAAAUGCGAUAAGUAAUGUGAAUUGCAGAAUUCAGUGAAUCAUCGAAUCUUUGAACGCAACUUGCGCUCUCUGGUAUUCCGGAGAGCAUGCCUGUUAUGAGUAUCAUGAAAUCUCAACCAUUAGGGUUUCUUAAUGGCUUGGAUUUGGGCGCUGCCACUUGCCUGGCUCGCCUUAAAAGAGUUAGCGUAUUAACUUGUCGAUCUGGCGUAAUAAGUUUCGCUGGUGUAGACUUGAGAAGUGCGCUUACUAAUCGUCUUCGGACAAUUCUUGAACUC